UACAGAGGUCCCGAGCGUUGUUCGGAUUCAUUGGGCGUAAAGGGUGCGUAGGCGGCGGGGCAAGUCUGAUGUGAAAUCCCGGGGCUCAACCCCGGGACUGCAUUGGAUACUGCGUUGCUAGAGUACUGGAGAGGGAAGUGGAAUUUACGGUGUAGCAGUGAAAUGCGUAGAGAUCGGAAGGAAGGCCAGUGGCGAAGGCGGGUUACUGGACAGUGACUGACGCUGAGGCACGAAGGCCAGGGGAGCAAACGGG
rnacentral:rRNA from 1 species